GACUUCGUGGUGUAGUUUUCAACACGCUCGGCGCGUAUUCGAGAGGUCCUUGGUUCGAGUCCCAGCGAGGGCA
rnacentral:tRNA from 1 species